rnacentral:lncRNA from 1 species
UAUUACGCCUGAGGCAAAAUAUUUCGUUGAAAAUCAGUUGUUUCCCCUUCGCUAUAGAUGUUUCCGUUUUCGGAUUUUAACAGUAAAACGGGGAAGCCAGUGAAGUUUACUUUUGUUUAACUACCUUUUGUUCAACGAUGAAGGGAUCUGAGACUUGUAAUACUGUUUACUGAUUUGAUGAUAUUCCUUGUUCUUUUGAUGGUUCAUUCCGCUAUACAGCUGGUUCAUAUACCAUACAACAGCCAGGAAGUUGGCCUGUUUACUUUAAGAUCCCAAGAAAAUGUAACAUAUUUUGGAUGUGCUUUGAGGAAUCAGGAAUGCAAGUGUUUCCUCUUGUUUAUGAAGCAACCCAGCUGGUUAAGGGGCAUGGUAAAUCACUGCCUGUAUUGGUAUUCCAUUUUGACAAUGUUACUAGCUAGAUG